GGUGGCUCGGUGGUAGAGUGCCUGCCUUGCAAGCAUGAGGGCUGGGUUCGAUUCCUCAGCACCA
rnacentral:tRNA from 1 species